AUCGAACGCUGGCGGCAGGCCUAACACAUGCAAGUCGAGCGGAUGACGGGAGCUUGCUCCUUGAUUCAGCGGCGGACGGGUGAGUAAUGCCUAGGAAUCUGCCUGGUAGUGGGGGACAACGUUCCGAAAGGGGCGCUAAUACCGCAUACGUCCUACGGGAGAAAGUGGGGGAUCUUCGGACCUCACGCUAUCAGAUGAGCCUAGGUCGGAUUAGCUAGUUGGUGAGGUAAAGGCUCACCAAGGCGACGAUCCGUAACUGGUCUGAGAGGAUGAUCAGUCACACUGGAACUGAGACACGGUCCAGACUCCUACGGGAGGCAGCAGUGGGGAAUAUUGGACAAUGGGCGAAAGCCUGAUCCAGCCAUGCCGCGUGUGUGAAGAAGGUCUUCGGAUUGUAAAGCACUUUAAGUUGGGAGGAAGGGCAGUAAGUUAAUACCUUGCUGUUUUGACGUUACCGACAGAAUAAGCACCGGCUAACUCUGUG
rnacentral:rRNA from 1 species